GGCGCUUUGGCGGAGUGGUUAACGCGAUGCCCUGCUAUCAUCAUUUGACGUUAGUGGGUACUAGGCAUUUCCUUCGGGAGCGUGUGUUCGAAUCACACAGGCGUCG
rnacentral:tRNA from 1 species